CAUGCCUUCUGUUUAUUUUGUAAUAGAUGCUGUUCUGCUAUGGGAGCUAUCAGCAGAGGUCUGCUCAUUGGACAGCUGGCUAUGAUGGCAUCUUCAUGUAAUCUCAGCAGUUUGGAGGCCAAGCAAGAAAGGACUCCUAAAAGCUUCUUGAAGGAAUACAUUUAACUUCAGCUGGCAUGGGAGGAAUGAGUACGCCUGGGACAUCUCGAGGUACUCAGUGUUGCCGGCAGAAUCUCAAAGGGAAUCAUAGUCACAGCACUUCUGCAGUGUGCUAAAGCAGAGGAGCAUCAUAA